GCUGGUGUGGCAGAGCCUGGUAACUGCAAAAGACCUAAGCCCUUUAUACAGAGGUUCAAAUCCUCUCGCCAACU
rnacentral:tRNA from 1 species